UUACAGGUCUGGGUGUUAGUGACAAAUUCAGCUUGUUUUUGUGCACAGGGUUAGGCUUGUUGCUGUUUGGAUGGAUGCAGAUGCACAAACGUGCAGCCCCACGUGUGUCUGCAGCUAGGUGCUCUUGUAGGUGAGCAAAGAUAGCACAUGCCUCUUCAUAAGGACUACAAAGUUUGGAAUAUUAAACGUUGCUUGAACAACCAAGCAACCUAACUGGGUGAUUUGGGCUGAUAUUUCUCUUUGUGCUGUAAAAGGAGAAGCAUCACACAACUACCACAGGAAAGUGGAACCCCAGUCUCUGAGCCUCUUGCUAGUUCUCUAGGAUCUCUACAGAAUAUGAUAAUCCUAUGAUAUGGAUCUGUUUUUGUUCAAGUAUACUGCCUGUAUGAAUCCUGAUGGCCUCAUUCUUCAGUGAGAGACUGUCAGCCUUGUGCAAAUCACUUUUGUCCUUGACUCAGGUCAGCCUAAGCCAACAUAAAACAAUAGGCUCGAAUGCUGCGGAGCGCUUGAAAGGCUCCCUGGUAGUUUGGAUUUUGGACUGCUACCUUUUGUCUUUGUGGAACUGGAUCCAUUUUGCAGUCGUCAGAUCACAUAUGCUCACACUACUUGCUUGGUGUGUGCCUAACGAGCUUUCUGACCCAGUGUCUUAAUUUGGAUACAACAGCUUUCAGCUGAGAGGCAACAGGUGUUGAACACGACUGCCAUGUCCCAGCUGUGGCAGGUGCUUGUGUGUCUUUUGUACUGCGAUCCAUUCCAGUAUGAAGUCGAGCAGGCCAGCCAGGUGGUUUACAUUUAGUUUUUGCUUUGCAUUGGAAUAAAAGUAGCACUGGCAUCGUCAUCAAGAGUUUUCAUUAACUGCUCCUGCCCUUCAGUUUUGAGUUGAUUGAAUUUCUGCCUAGCUUGCUGUCCAGAUUGCAUAGAAGAGGGUUGAUGCUGCUUUGGCCGAGCAAGGGCUGGGAGGUUUAACUAUUUGAUUUGGUCACAGAAUCAAUCCUCACUACAGCCAGUUAUCUGACACCGUGCUGCUGGCCCUGGUCCUUAUCUUUCUACCCUAACCCCUUCCCAGGAAUAGGCUUUGCUGGGUCCUCUGGCUCCUUUUAUGCAAGACUGGACUGUGAGAUAAAGGUACUGCUGUCUAUUAAAAAUGUAUGGGAAGCAGAAAAGUGAAGACUCAGAACUGAUUAAAUACUACUUUAGUAUUCUUCCAAGCUGGAGAAUGAGCUGUUCAAUUAACAAUGUGAUCGCAGUCAGCUCUGGAAGAAUAUUACUUAAUAGAUAUUCACACUUCUAAUACUGAUUUAUUUUUGCUGUAUUUGCAGGUCCUAUGUAUUUGUUUCUCAGAUAUGCAUAAGCAAUGGGCUAGCUGUUAAUUUAUAUUGAACAAAACAACUGAGUUUCAAUGAAUGCUCAAAUAAAAUGGAUUUCUAACAUGUAUUCAAACUAGAAAUCUUAUCCCAAGGAUUUAUGUCAUCUAGUCAGCAAGCAAAAACAAAUUAUAUAAUCAGUCUUUUUGCUUUUAUCAAAAAGGCCAUAAACGUGUGAAUAUGCAGUCUGAGUUCACUGCGCAUGUCACAGAUCAUCUGUCUGCAAAUGCAAAAUGUUUGACCUAUUGCAUGCUCCUUCGUUGGCCAGGGCCUGGUGCUCCUAUACAUGAAGAAGGAAUGAUACCAAUAAGCCACAAGGAGGUAACUAGUAAUAAGCUACAGAACAAAUAUUUUCAGAUUAGGAAAACUGGUAAGAGAACAUGUUAAACUUGUUAAAUUCGAUAUUAUGAUAGUAAUAGAAUGGGUAAAUAAUUCUAUGAGGUCCUUACCAAACUUGAUUAUCUGCCCAUUAAAUAUGAAAUUUGGUACAAAAUUGAAUUAAUUUUGGUUCUUGUUCAAUUUUUGUCUAUAAAGCAUUUGCUGAUAACAAGGGUUAUAAUCUGUAGAUUGAUCGGAAAGAAGCCAAUUGCAUGCUCAGCAUGCAGGCUACUCUCUAUUCUAUGUUACCUCUAGUUCCUGCUGUUUUUAGCUAGAAAUGUCAUAGUAGUUGCAUCUAGAAUGGUAGUAACCUGGGAAACAAAGAAGGUAAACCAAUGGGAAAGUCAUCUCCAUGAAAAAAAAAAAAAAACACAA